CCAGAGAAAUUUGGAUUAAUACCUCAUAGUAUAACGACUCGGCAUCCAGAUGUUAUUAAAGUCACAACGGUGAAAGAUGAGCAUGCGUCCCAUUAGCUAGUUGGUAAGGUAACGGCUUACCAAGGCUACGAUGGGUAGGGGUCCUGAGAGGGAGAUCCCCCACACUGGUACUGAGACACGGACCAGACUCAUACGGGAGGCAGCAGUGGGGAAUAUUGGUCAAUGGACGCAAGUCUGAACCAGCCAUGCCGCGUGCAGGAUGACGGUCCUAUGGAUUGUAAACUGCUUUUGUACAGGAAGAAACAGUUCUACGUGUAGAACCUUGACGGUACUGAAAGAAUAAGGAUCGGCUAACUCCGUGCCAGCAGCCGCGGUAAUACGGAGGAUCCAACCGUUAUCCGGAAUCAUUGGGUUUAAAGG
rnacentral:rRNA from 1 species